rnacentral:rRNA from 1 species
CUUACCAUGCAAGUUCGAACGAGGCACCUUGAUUUGAUUCUUCGGAUGAAGAUCCUGGUGACUGAGUGGCGGACGGGUGAGUAACGCGUGGGUAACCUGCCUCAUACAGGGGGAUAACAGUUAGAAAUGACUGCUAAUACCGCAUAAGACCACAGCACCGCAUGGUGCAGGGGUAAAAACUCCGGUGGUAUGAGAUGGACCCGCGUCUGAUUAGGUAGUUGGUGGGGUAACGGCCUACCAAGCCAACGAUCAGUAGCCGACCUGAGAGGGUGACCGGCCACAUUGGGACUGAGACACGGCCCAAACUCCUACGGGAGGCAGCAGUGGGGAAUAUUGCACAAUGGGGGAAACCCUGAUGCAGCGACGCCGCGUGAGCGAUGAAGUAUUUCGGUAUGUAAAGCUCUAUCAGCAGGGAAGAAAAUGACGGUACCUGACUAAGAAGCACCGGCUAAAUACGUGCCAGCAGCCGCGGUAAUACGUAUGGUGCAAGCGUUAUCCGGAUUUACUGGGUGUAAAGGGAGCGUAGACGGAGUGGCAAGUCUGAUGUGAAAACCCGGGGCUCAACCCCGGGACUGCAUUGGAAACUGUCAAUCUGGAGUACCGGAGAGGUAAGCGGAAUUCCUAGUGUAGCGGUGAAAUGCGUAGAUAUUAGGAGGAACACCAGUGGCGAAGGCGGCUUACUGGACGGUAACUGACGUUGAGGCUCGAAAGCGUGGGGAGCAAACAGGAUUAGAUACCCUGGUAGUCCACGCCGUAAACGAUGACUACUAGGUGUCGGGCAGCAAAGCUGUUCGGUGCCGCAGCAAACGCAAUAAGUAGUCCACCUGGGGGAGUACGUUCGCAAGAAUGAAACUCAAAGGAAUUGACGGGGAACCCGCACAAGCGGUGGAGCAUGUGGUUUAAUUUCNAAGCAACGCGAAAAACCUUACCUGCUCUUGAACAUCUUCCCUGACCGGCAAGGUAAUGUUGCCUUUCCUUUCGGACAGGGAUGACAGGGGGUGCCUUGGUUGUCCUUCAGCU